rnacentral:tRNA from 1 species
GCGCCAAUGGUGUAGUGCCGUAGAGCAUUCCGAGCAUUCCCGCCCGGUCAGAGGGAGGUGCGGGUUCGAGUCCCGCCUGGCGCU